UACUCCAAGAAAUAAGCCCCAGUUAAGUGAAACCCCACCCUCCACAAUUGUGCAGCAACCAGAAGAUGACAUGACUGUACAGUAUUUGGAUAAAUAUAGAUUGUUGUACAUGAAAAAAAUUGCCUGGAAAUAAGCCCUAAUGCGUUUUUGAGCAAACACAGUAGAUACUUCAUUUGAAGGAGGUGGGAACACUUUGACUUCAGUAAAGUUACUUUGUGAAAACAUUAUGAAUGGCAACAUAAUGAGCAAAUCACAUUAGGUUUAAAUUCACAGUCAUAUUAUCUUUGUGUUGUGUUUUUAAAUACACCUACAGUAAUUGGUUUUCCUAGAGGUAUACUUGACAGCCCCUCAACCUCAUGGCUGAUGAUCACACAACCAGUAGAGUUGGGGGCUAUUCAACACUUUGUUGGAAGGCAAAGGCCAGGAUGCAUCUAACACUAAAACAAACAAAAGGUUUCAGCCAAAAUCUUCACCACUUUUCUAAUUUCAGUGAGUCACAUUUUUAACUAUGUCAGAUUGGGACAAACUAAAGAACAGAACUGAAAUAAGGAAUAAGUUCUCUUUUUUUCUUUUACCUCUCUUUACUUGAAAUCUGAGGGGCUUACAUGUUUGUUAUAAUAAAUUGUUUUCUUGGUAACCUAAACAUUAUUAACAUGCUUUAGAUAAAGGUCAUUUUCUUUUAACAAAUACUAAGGCAACACAGGAAAAUUCACUCCUAAAUUAAAAAUGUCAGCUUUAAGGUUCUGCUUACUCAGACUGUAAAUUCACCAUUUAGUAUACCCAGGAAAAUGAUAAGCUUCUACAGUACUAACACUCAGUAAGUUUAAAUCCCAUUUUAAGUAGCCAUGUUUAUCUUUUAAAAGAGGUUUGCCAUAAUUAAAGAUGACACUAUUAUAUGAGGUUCUGCGGUUUUCUGAAUAUUAAGCAUUUUUAUAAACGUCUUUUUACAGCUUGCUUUCUUUAGCAAUCUGAAGAAAAUCAGAGACUUAUAUGAGAAUAUGAUAAAGGAAAUACCAGUUUCACCAAACGGUGCUGGGGUGGUAAUGCUGAAUGAAGAAGAAAUUAUUAAAAUUGAGUUUGAUAAAGUAUAUAAUGCUUUGGAAGUGAGGAAAAAACAGUUACUUGAAGAUGUUGAAGUCCAGAAGAAAAGGAAACUGAAAGAGUCACUAAUAUGGAACAGAAUGAAAGACGUUCACAAGAAAACCAUUGAAAAUGUUCUGAAUGAUUGUGAGAAGCUUUUAAAUGAAUAUAAUCCGCAGCGUUUUCUAGAGGUCGCAUGCAGCUUGAAUCAAAGAAUGAAGACUCAGCUGGACCUCAUGCAAAUAGCAUGCAGCCAUGGGAAUCAGUCAGAAUGCAAACAAGUGCAGAUGGAUACAACAGAUAUAGUUAAUGAUAUCUUAGCCUUGAACCUCACUGCUGUUGAUCUGGAUGUUGUUAAAGACAUUCCUUCCAGAGAUGUUGAACAUUCUAUCUCUGCAAGCCCUGGAAGCAAACUGGAAGUUAAGGAAAAUGUACAGAAAACAACUUAUCCAGUGCCAGGAGAGGAUAUCAUUUUGGAUAAUGGUAGGAGGAUUCCUACUCAGUAUAUGUCACUUUCUGCUGCAACUGAAUUUGGACGCAUGAGUCAUGAGGAGAUGCGUUAUAACUAUUAUAUGAAACAUCAAGUGUGUUUAGAUGAAUUACAGGCACAGAUCUCUCCUCAAAAUGAAAAUUUUCCAUUAUUGAAAUGUUUGUCUUCAAAGAGCGCAACUUCAAGAUUUGUUCCUUCUUGUCUUAGUGCUAAAGCAAAAAAUAAGAAAAAAAUCGCAACAUUACAGAGACCAUGUUUUAGUGAAUCUGGUGUGUCUAAUCCACUUGGUUUUACAUUCAAUGCAGAAGCAAUGAACUUCAAUUUCUGUAGCUCAAACAAUAAACUGAAUCUUCAAAGAGUGAAUCAGUCUCAGAAUGAUGCCAAGGAAACUUCCCAAUCAGCAGUUAGCAAUAGCUGUCAAAAUACAACAAAAUUACUUCAACCUCAUGUAGUAACACUUUCUUCUGAAGACCUCAUCUCAUCUACUGUAUUUCCAAAAGUAUCUGAGUUAGCAGCAGUAUCUGUUGCUGCUGUAAACCCAUGUAUUUCAGGUGCUGUGUCAGGACAUUCAGCUUCACCUUUCAUUUUUGGUCCAAGUGGCAAUUUGGGAACAACUCCUUCAAGUAAGAAAUCGUCUGUAAUGUUUGAAAAAGAAAAGGUGGCUUUCUCCACUCUUUCUCUGGUUAGAUCUGAAAGCCAGGAUUGCAACAUAAACAAUAUAAAUGUUUAUAAUUCAACAAAUGGUUUCUUGACAGUUGCUACCACUGUCUCUACCAUCAGUCCAAAGUCUGGUACAGCUGUAAGUGGAAAUCCUUUCUUAUCUACUUUUCCUGCUAAUUCUGAAAGUGAUUCUUGUCAGACAACUACAGUGAGCAGCAGUUCAGAGCAAAAGUCAUUUUCAUAUUUGAUUGCUGAUCAGAAGAUACUACAAGGAAACAAAGCAGUUUGCUUCAGGAAACAGAAUAAUGAGGGUAAUAGUUGGGUCACAUACUCUGCCAUUGACUCUAAUAAGCACUUAAUAUAUAGCUCUAAUGAUGCUUUCUCCAUGGCCUGCACAACAUCCAGUUUUACUGCUUCUCAUAUGAUAGAUACUUCAGAAAAGCAGCCUAUACCUGAUAGUGUCUCCUCAAAGAAUGACUGUUCCACAAAUGGCAUUCAUCUUUUACCUUUGAAAAGAGGCAACAAAAAUUGUGGUGAUACUUUAAUCUCCAUAAAACCUUUAAAGAAAAUUGAAUGUGCAACUGAGAAAUCAAAAGUGAAACCUGAAGACAAAAAUGUAACUGUACAAAGAUCUGUGCCUUCAAAAAAAGAUGUAGCUGCUUAUAAAGAACUGAAAGACAUAAGGAACUGCUCUUCCUUGGCUUCUAUCAACAAGUGUCCAAAAGCAAAAACUUGUAGUGUACUAGUUCCUCAGCAAAAUGUAGCCCAUGAUCUUACUGUAAACAGCACUUCAGAUUCAGUUAAACUCACAGAAAUGGAGAAUUCAUUAGAAAUCUUUCCACCAGCUGUUGAAGACCAUAAAGUGUUUUCUUCAGUUCUUGAUGGAGCAAGUUGCACAGUAAAUUCAGAUUCUGAUGUAGAAGAUUUAAGCCAAGCAUCUAAUGUUAGUGAUUCUAGUAGUACAUCUGAAUAUUUUUCUGUUACUGAGGAUCAAAUUUCCUGUUGA
ensembl:lncRNA